GCUUACGGCCAUACCACCCUGAGCACGCCUGAUCUUGCCUGAUCUCGGAAGCUAAGCAGGGUCGGGCCUGGUUAGUACUUGGAUGGGAGACCGCCUGGGAAUACCAGGUGCUGUAAGCU
rnacentral:rRNA from 1 species